UACGGAGGGGGCAAGCGUUGUUCGGAAUUAUUGGGCGUAAAGAGUAUGUAGGCGGCUAUCUAAGUCAGACGUGCAAGCCCACGGCUCAACCGUGGAAUUGCGUUUGAAACUAUUUAGCUUGAGUUCAGGAGAGGAAGGCGGAAUUCCCAGUGUAGCGGUGAAAUGCAUUGAUAUUGGGAGGAACACGAAUGGCGAAGGCAACUUUCUGGCCUAUUACUGACGCUGAGGGACGAAAGCGUGGGGAGCGAACAGG
rnacentral:rRNA from 1 species